AUUGAACGCUGGCGGCAUGCCUUACACAUGCAAGUCGAACGGCAGCACGGGAGCAAUCCUGGUGGCGAGUGGCGAACGGGUGAGUAAUAUAUCGGAACGUGCCCAGUCGUGGGGAUAACGUAGCGAAAGCUACGCUAAUACCGCAUACGAUCUAUGGAUGAAAGCGGGGGAUCGCAAGACCUCGCGCGAUUGGAGCGGCCGAUAUCAGAUUAGGUAGUUGGUGAGGUAAAGGCUCGCCAAGCCGACGAUCUGUAGCUGGUCUGAGAGGACGACCAGCCACACUGGGACUGAGACACGGCCCAGACUCCUACGGGAGGCA
rnacentral:rRNA from 1 species